GACGAACGCUGGCGGCAAGCCUAAUACAUGCAAGUCGAGCGAACAGAUGAAGUGCUUGCACUUCUGACGUUAGCGGCGAACGGGUGAGUAACACGUAAGGAAUCUACCUAUAAGCGGGGGAUAACAUUCGGAAACGGGUGCUAAUACCGCAUAAUAUCUUCUUCCGCAUGGAAGAAGAUUGAAAGACGGCUCUGCUGUCACUUAUAGAUGACCUUGCGGUGCAUUAGUUAGUUGGUGGGGUAAUGGCCUACCAAGACGAUGAUGCAUAGCCGACCUGGGAGGGUGAUCGGCCACAGUGGGACUGAGACACGGCCCAAACUCCUACGGGAGGCAGCAGUAGGGAAUCUUCCGCAAUGGGCGAAAGCCUGACGGAGCAAUGCCGCGUGAGUGAAGAAGGCCUUCGGGUCGUAAAACUCUGUUAUAAGAGAAGAACAAAUUGUAGAGUAACUGCUACAGUCUUGACGGUAUCUUAUCAGAAAGCCACGGCUAACUACGUGCCAGCCGCCGCAGUAA
rnacentral:rRNA from 1 species